rnacentral:rRNA from 1 species
AAGAGAUAGAAAACUAGGAGAGGGAGGCAUUGCACGUCGUCAGUGCCGCAGCUAACGCAUUAAGUUCCCCGCCUGGGGAGUACGGCCGCAAGGCUAAACUCAAAGGAAUUGACGGGGGCCCGCACAAGCAGCGGAGCAUGAGGCUUAAUUGGACGGAACGAAAAGAACCUUAUCAAGGCUUGACAUACACCGAAAAUGUCUGGAGACAGGCGCCCCCUUGUGGUCGGUGUACAGGUGGUGCAUGGCUGUCGUCAGCAAGUGUCGUGAGAUGUUUGGUUAAGUCGAACAACGAGCGCAACCCUUGUUCUGUGUUGACAGCAUGCCCUUCGGGGUGAAGGGGAAUCACAGGAGACUGCCGGGGUCAACUCGGAGGAAGGCGGGGACGACGUCAAGUCAUCAUGCCCCUUAUGUCGUGGGCUGCACACGUGCUACAAUGGCCGGUACAAUGAGCUGCGUUACCGCGAGGUGGAGCGAAUCUCAAAAAGCCGGUCUCAGUUCGGAUUGGGGUGUGCAACUCGACCCCAUGAAGUCGGAGUUGCUAGUAAUGGCAGAUCAGCAUUGAUGCGGUGAAUCUGUUCCCGGACCUUGUACACACCCCCCGUCACGUCUCGAAAGUCGGUAACACCCGAAGCCGGUGGCCCAACCCCCGG